GACAGAGGUCCCGAGCGUUAGGCGGAAUCACUGGGCUUAAAGCGUGUGUAGGCGGAUCGUUAAGUGCCUUGUGAAAUCCCAUGGCUUAACCAUGGAACUGCUUGGCAUACUGGCGAUCUUGAGCCACUUAGGGGCAACCGGAACAAAUGGUGGAGCGGUGAAAUGCGUAGAUAUCGGAAGGAACGCCGGUGGCGAAAGCGCACAACUGGUCCUCUUCUGACGCUGAGGCGCGAAAGCCAGGGGAGCAAACGGG
rnacentral:rRNA from 1 species